GAUGAACGCUAGCUACAGGCUUAACACAUGCAAGUCGAGGGACCGGCGCACGGGUGAGUAACACGUAACCAACCUGCCCUUUACUCGGGGAUAGCCUUUCGAAAGAAAGAUUAAUACCAGAUAUAAAGGAUGGGGAUGCGUUGCAUUAGGUUGUGGGUGAGGUACAGGCCCACCAAGCCUUCGAUGGCUAGGGGGUCGGAGAGGAAGGCCCCACAGGAUGGAAGUGAUGCACGGUCCACAUACGUACGGGAGGAGGCAGUGAGGUAGAAUAGUGAACGGGCGCCAGCCUGAACCAGCCCAGUAGUGUGAAGGAUGCAGGCGUAUGGAACGUAAACUUAUUGUAGAUAAGAGCACGUAUCAUAUGAAGAAAGAACGGCUAACUCCGUGCCAGCAGCCGGGGUAAUAC
rnacentral:rRNA from 1 species